UGAGGAAUAUUGGUCAAUGGGCGAGAGCCUGAACCAGCCAAGUCGCGUGAAGGAAGAAUGCGUUAUGCGUUGUAAACUUCUUUUGUUGGGGAAUAAAAAAGGGGACGAGUCCCCUGUUGUAUGUACCCAAAGAAUAAGCAUCGGCUAACUCCGUGCCAGCAGCCGCGGUAAUACGGAGGAUGCGAGCGUUAUCCGGAUUUAUUGGGUUUAAAGGGUGCGUAGGCGGGAUGAUAAGUCAGUGGUGAAAGUUUGCGGCUCAACCGUAAAAUUGCCAUUGAAACUGUUGUUCUUGAGUACAGUAGAGGUAGGUGGAAUUCGUAGUGUAGCGGUGAAAUGCUUAGAUAUUACGAAGAACUCCGAUUGCGAAGGCAGCUUGCUGGACUGUAACUGACGCUGAGGCACGAAAGUGUGGGGAUCAAACA
rnacentral:rRNA from 1 species